AGAAAUAUUAGUAUAGUAGGUGCUCCUUUAAUUCAUAUUAAUUUAUUAAUUUAGCAAGGCCACUAGUAUACAUUCUAUAGUUACCUUAUCUCACUAAGUUUCAAGACAAGAAUAUCUUAGGUUUGUUUAAUUUCAUGUGAAAAGCUAAAUUCAUUAUUCAGGUUGUGAUGAACUGAAACUUUCUUGUUUAAAGCUCUUGUUAAGUUCACUUCAAAUAGCAUUGAAUUUUUUUGUGAACCUGCCUUCAUCAUGCUGGUUAAGGAAGUUAUGUUAUGGAUCUAAGCUUUGUAGGACUAUGUGUUACAAGAUACCUUUGAAAGAUCUGCUUCACUACAUGGAACCCCAGAGUUCAUUAAUGUUGGAGAUUUUGGGAAAUUAAUUUCUCAGUAUAAUGUAAGUUUAUUAUUUUAGUGCCUUCUUAAUUUAUGGCUCUUUAGGUGUCUUAAGUUACAAAACAUGAAGUGUCUUACUUGUGGAACAUUGGUAGACUAUGAUAAAGAAAACAAUUAUAAUCUUUUUUGGUUUUAA